ensembl:misc_RNA Metazoa_SRP Metazoan signal recognition particle RNA
GCCAGGUGCGGUGGUGCACACCUGUAGUCCCAACUACUCGGGAGGCUGAGGCAGGAGGACUGCUUGAGUCCAGGAGUUCUGGGCUGUAGUGUGCUAUGCCAAUCGGGUGUCCGCACUAAGUUCAGCAUCAACAUGGUGACCUCCUGGGAGCAGGGGACCACAAGAUUGCCUAAGGAGAGGUGAACUGACCCAGGUCAGAAACUGAGAAGGUCAAAACUCUCUUGCUGAUCAGUAGUGUGAUUGAUCCUAAGAACAGCCACUGCACUUCAGCCUGGGCAACAUAGCAAGACCCUGUGUCAA